CUGGCUGAUGAGACUAAGGCGAAUGCGACUCGUGCUCUCCGAUCCCCAGGGGUGGGGGUUCCCAGUAGGAUCUGAAGUCUUAGUGGGGGCACUAGAGGCUGGCUCCUCACCGUAAGGCAGAUCAACAACACUGCUGGCCUUGCCUCUUCAUCUGCCGCUGCCUCCAGUUCCUGGCAGCUGCCUGCAGGGAGGCCUACAGGGGGCACCAAAGUAGGGCUGGGCACGAGCCACCUGAGCGCAACCUUGGAUCUGACC